rnacentral:tRNA from 1 species
CGGGUUGUGGCGCAGCUUGGGAGCGCGCUGCUUUCGGGUAGCAGAGGUCGUCGGUUCAAAUCCGGCCAACCCGAC